rnacentral:rRNA from 1 species
UACGGGGGGUGCAAGCGUUGUCCGGAAUCAUUGGGCGUAAAGCGCGUGUAGGCGGUCCGGUAAGUCCGCUGUGAAAGUCGGGGGCUCAACCCUCGAAUGCCGGUGGAUACUGUCGGGCUAGAGUGCGGAAGAGGCGAGUGGAAUUCCUGGUGUAGCGGUGAAAUGCGCAGAUAUCAGGAGGAACACCAAUUGCGAAGGCAGCUCGCUGGGACGUUACUGACGCUGAGACGCGAAAGCGUGGGGAGCAAACAGG